GGCCGGGAGGGAUCCGCUCUGGGUGGCCACGUGACGGCAGCGAAGAGCGCGCGCGAGAGCUGGUUCAUCCGGGUACCUUCGUGGCGGCGGCGGAGGAGGUACACUUCAGUGCCACAAAACUAACCAACAAGACUUGGCACAUCAUGGAAUUCUAAUGGGUAGUUAAGCAAAGUUCCAGCUCGGUUGACAGGAUAGAUCCCGGUAGGAAUCCUGUAUCUUAAUGGACUCCGAAGACAACACCACUGGGCAAUGAAGAGAAGAAGAUUCUGAUGGAUGAGGCUGUAUAAUGAAGCAUGAUGUUGAUCUCUGGUUCAUGCUGACCACAAAGCCUAGCUGAAAUCAUUAUUUUGCUCUCUGCCAGCUGCCACAUACAAUCUUCCUACCUGCUUGGACAACCUUUGAAUACAGCAGGAAUUUAUCUCCAGAGUUAGGGGUGUCAGUCUGGACCCUGGAGAUAAGUUAAUACACCUUUACCCCGAUAGAACGCGACCCAAUAUAACACGAAUUCGGAUAAAAUGCAGUAAAGCAGCGGGGAGCUCCGGGCCCUUUAAAGCACCAUCUGAGCCCUGCUGCUUUACCACAUUCUAUCCGAAUGGUGGACCACAAGCUAAAUAUGAGUCAACAUUGUGAUGCUGUUGCAAAAAAAAGCAAACGUGAUUCUGGGAUUCAUUAACAGGUGUGUUGUGAGCAGGACAGGAGAAGUCAUUCUUCUACUCUACUCUUCACGGGUUAGGCCUCAACUGGAGUAUUGUGUCCAGUUCUGGGCAUCGCAUUUCAAGAAAGAUGUGGAGAAAUUGGAGAGAGUCCAGAGAAGAGCAACAAGAAUGAUUAAAGGUCUUGAGAACAUGACCUAUGAAGGAAGGCUGAAAGAAUGGGGUUUGUUUAGUUUGGAAAAGAGAAGACUGAGAGGGGACAUGAUAGCAGUUCUUAGGUAUCUAAAAGGGUGUCAUCAGGAGGAGGGAGAAAACUUGUUCACCUUAGCCUCUAAUGAUAGAAAAAGAAGCAAUGGGCUUAAACUGCAGCAAGGGAGGUUUAGGUUGGACAUUAGGAAAAAGUUCCUAACUGUCAGGGUAGUUAAACACUGGAAUAAAUUGCCUAGAGAGACUGUGGAAUCUCCAUCUGUGGAGAUAUUUAAGAGUAGGUUAGAUAAAUGUCUAUUCGAGAUGAUCUAGGCAGUAUUUGGUCCUGCCAUGAGGGCAGGGGACUGGACUCUAUGACCUCUUGAGGUCCCUUCCAGUCUUAGAAUCUAUGAAUUCAUGUGGAGUACCAGGCCUUUUAAAUCCCUGCCAGGGCGCUGGCAGCCAGGUUCAGGUGGUGAUUUAAAGGGCCAGAGGCUCCAGCCACUGCGGGGAGCCCCGGGCCCUUUAAAUCACUGCCGGGGAAGCUGGUCCAGUCCCGAUAUAACACGGUCUCACCUAUAAGGCGGUGAGAUUUUUUGGCUCCCGAGGACCACAUUAUUUCAAGGUAGAAGUGUAGUUCAUUCUACGUAUGUAUCAAUAAUAUCAUUUGAUAAAUACAGCCAAGGAUUUACAAGAUGACUAGUGAUUUUUUUUUGACCAAAACCAAAUCCUUUAUUCCCACAGCUUUAUAAUUGUGUUCCAAGUAUGUGUCCUCAACACAACACUUAAAAAGAAACAUGCCAUUAGCAAACUAGAUCAGUUCACUGAUGGGUAUGACUCCUUGAUGUUCGGCUUAUAGUCACAGUAAAAGACAUUUUGAGUGAUUUUAUGUGCCUUUGUUUUGUGGAUAAUUAACUGAGAUCUCUUAAAGGAACCUGAUUUGCAGAAUGUGUUGAAAAUCCAGCCCUUUUAAUGUGUGUCAAGGUGAUUACCCCAAAACUGAGCCACUUAAAAUCACUAACACUUCUGAAUGUCUGUAUGAUAUUUUCAAGUGCCUAUGUGGCUUAGGAACAUGAACCCCAUUGAGGGGGAGGGCUUGUGCUCCCAAGUCGCCUAUGUGUUUUUGAGAAUCCCAGCCUUGUUCUAUAUCUCUUGCUGAAUACAUGGGAAGGUAGAUACUAACUGCAACUUUCAUGAUGACAUUGCUUUGGACUAUGAGAUUGUAACAUGCAGUGAUGGAAGGCGUAUUGGAACCUACUGUUCUCUCACUGUGUGGGCAAUUAUUCACCUACCACAACUCCUCCAUGCAUUGAAGAAAAGACUAGACCUCUCCGUGUGAGUCAAGCUGUAAUACAUAUGGUACAAAGCUGAGGUGAGAACUGUAACCCAAGAAGGAGGCUCUGAUGUUGACAUAUGUGACAGUAAAAGAAAAUAAUUGUUUAAACUUUGCCUUCUUACAUUUCACAAAUUCAUUUAUACAUUUCAUGUAUUUAAAAUGAGUGAAUUUAGUGCUCAUGAAAACGUGGCUUGAGGCAGAUAUAGUAAGUGUGGUAUGUUCAAACAAUUCCUAUUGAGAUCUGGUCAAUUCCUCUUAAUCCUGACUCUCAGGCACUGUGCUAUUUUUCUCUCGGACUCUGCCUGAACAAAGUUUACUGGGUCAUGCAAUGUGUUUGAUCUGCCCAAAUACAGGAUAGCCUAUCUAACUUCAUUGCAGGGGUGAUCUAAAUUGGGAUUGUAGUCAAGUCUCUAGGGUGACAGGCUAUUGCACCAAACCACUGUGCAACCAAACUGAUUUCCCCCAUUAAGCAAUCUCUGCUGAUGUGGUUAGGGGUUAGUGCCCACUCCUCAAAAGUACAACGUUCCAAAUAGUGCUUUACUUGUCUGAAGCCAUCCACCCGAGAAUUGUAACUCUUCACAACGCCCCCAUUUUAAUUGUGGGUGGAUGGGCAGGGGCUGGAAGGAAUCUUAUGUUAGAUCUGAACAUGCUGGAUUAGAUCAUUUCUGACCUGGUGCCUAUAUAUCCCUCCUGCUCCAAAAUGACAGUCAUUCCACCGUGGAGGCCAUGAAAUGCAAAGACAGUGAAGUGCGUUUACUGCCAAUGAUGGGGGGGGAAGCUAGCGUCUUGCUAGACCAGAAGUUAAUGUGUCCUAGGGUGACCACGUUUACCGCUUAAUAAAAUGAGGCCUUUAUGGUUUAGAGACUUUUGUGCACUCUCCUUUUGUGCAGCCCCAUAGGCUUGCACUGUGCUUCAAGGGUGAUGUCCUCAAUACUUGAGGCAUUGGUUCCAUGGUUUGGAAUGCAGCUGUGCCAUCUCAAGUGCCAGCUUGGGAACAUUCAUUAUACAACAGUGUCUGAUAUAAGAACAACAUACAAAAAUGGACAGUGCUCCUUUGAGUUUUGCCCUGGCUCUGCUGUGCAAGAUAGUGUGGGUACACACAUCUACCUGU